rnacentral:rRNA from 1 species
UAGGGAAUCUUGCGCAAUGGGCGAAAGCCUGACGCAGCAACGCCGCGUGAGGGAUGACGGCUUUCGGGUUGUAAACCUCUUUCAGUGAUGACGAAAAUGACGGUAAUCACAGAAGAAGGUCCGGCCAACUACGUGCCAGCAGCCGCGGUAACACGUAGGGACCGAGCGUUGUCCGGAUUUAUUGGGCGUAAAGAGCUCGUAGGCGGUUGCGUAAGUCGGAUGUGAAAACUCAGGGCUCAACCCGGAGACGCCAUCCGAUACUGCGCUGACUCGAGUCCGGUAGGGGAGCAUGGAAUUCCUGGUGUAGCGGUGAAAUGCGCAGAUAUCAGGAGGAACACCAGUGGCGAAGGCGGUGCUCUGGGCCGGUACUGACGCUGAGGAGCGAAAGCAUGGGGAGCAAACAGGAUUAGAUACCCCCGUAGUCC